UGAUGAUGAUUAUGUUGAUGAUGAUGAUUAUGUUGAUGAUGAUGAUGAUGAUGAUUAUCAUCAUCAUCAUCAUCAUCAUCAUUAUUAUUAUUAUUA
rnacentral:pre_miRNA from 1 species